rnacentral:rRNA from 1 species
GACGAACGCUGGCGGCGUGCCUAAUACAUGCAAGUAGAACGCACAGUUUAUACCGUAGCUUGCUACACCAUAGACUGUGAGUUGCGAACGGGUGAGUAACGCGUAGGUAACCUGCCUGGUAGCGGGGGAUAACUAUUGGAAACGAUAGCUAAUACCGCAUAAUAUUAAUUAUUGCAUGAUAAUUAAUUGAAAGGUGCAACUGCACCACUACCAGAUGGGCCUGCGUUGUAUUAGCUAGUAGGUGAGGUAACGGCUCACCUAGGCGACGAUACAUAGCCGACCUGAGAGGGUGAUCGGCCACACUGGGACUGAGACACGGCCCAGACUCCUACGGGAGGCAGCAGUAGGGAAUCUUCGGCAAUGGACGAAAGUCUGACCGAGCAACGCCGCGUGAGUGAAGAAGGUUUUCGGAUCGUAAAGCUCUGUUGUAAGAGAAGAACGGGUGUGAGAGUGGAAAGUUCACACUGUGACGGUAUCUUACCAGAAAGGGACGGCUAACUACGUG